rnacentral:rRNA from 1 species
GAUGAACGCUGGCGGCGUGCCUAAUACAUGCAAGUCGAACGCUUCACUUCGGUGAAGAGUGGCGAACGGGUGAGUAAUACAUAAGUAACCUGGCAUCUACAGGGGGAUAACUGAUGGAAACGUCAGCUAAGACCGCAUAGGUGUAGAGAUCGCAUGAACUCUAUAUGAAAAGUGCUACGGGACUGGUAGAUGAUGGACUUAUGGCGCAUUAGCUUGUUGGUAGGGUAACGGCCUACCAAGGCGACGAUGCGUAGCCGACCUGAGAGGGUGACCGGCCACACUGUGACUGAGACACGGCCCAGACUCCUACGGGAGGCAGCAGUAGGGAAUUUUCGGCAAUGGGGGAAACCCUGACCGAGCAACGCCGCGUGAAGGAAGAAGUAAUUCGUUAUGUAAACUUCUGUCAUAGAGGAAGAACGGUGGAUAUAGGGAAUGAUAUCCAAGUGACGGUACUCUAUAAGAAAGCCACGGCUAACUACGUG